AGUUUGAUCCUGGCUCAAGAUGAACGCUGGCGGCGUGCUUAACACAUGCAAGUCAAACGAUUAACCCGCCUUCGGGCGGUCAUAAAGUGGCGAACGGGUGAGUAACACGUGACCAACCUGCCCUGCACAUCGGGAUAACUGCCGGAAACGGCAGCUAAUACCGGAUACUAUCCGCACCCCGCAUGGGGAGCGGAUGAAAGCUCCGGCGGUGCAGGAUGGGGUCGCGGCCCAUCAGGUAGUAGGCGGGGCAGUGGCCCACCUACCCGACGACGGGUAGCCGGACUGAGAGGUCGAUCGGCCACAUUGGGACUGAUAUACGGCCCACACUCCUACGGGAGGCAGCAGUGGGGAAUAUUGCGCAAUGGGGGAAACCCUGACGCAACAACGCCGCGUGCGGGAUGAAGGCCUUCGGGUUGUAAACCGCUUUCAGCAUCGAAAGACGGUACCCGACCAAGAAGCCCCCGGCUAACUACGUGCCAGCAGCCGCGGUAAUACUUAGGGGGCGAGCGUUAUCCGGAAUUACUGGGUGUAAAGGGAGCGUAGACUGCGAGGUAAGCCUGAAGUGGAAGCCCGCGGCCCAACCGCGGAACUGCUUUGGGAACUGUUUUGCUGGAGUAUGGGAGGUGUAAGCUGAAUUCCUGGUGUAGUGGUGAAAUGCGUAGAUAUCAGGAGGAACACCGGUGGCGAAGGCGGCUUACUGGACCAUAACUGACGUUGAGGCUUGAAAGCGUGGGGAGCGAACAGGAUUAGAUACCCUGGUAGUCCACGCCGUAAACGAUGAUUACUAAGUGUCGGGUGUCGAAGGACGUCCGGUGCAGCACGCGAACGCAGUAAGUAAUCCACCUGGGGAGUACGUUCGCAAGAAUGAAACUCAAAGGAAUUGACGGGGACCCGCACAAUCGGUUGAUCAUGUGGUUUAAUUAGAAGCAACGCGAAGAACAUUCCCUGGCCUUGCCAUCCGCCUGACAGUAUCUGGAAUUCAUAUCUCCUUCGGGACAGCGCAGACAGGUGGUCCAUGGUGGUUGUCAGCUGGUGUCGUGAGAUGUUGGGUCAAUUCCCCCAACGAGCGCAACCCCUGCCCCCAGUAGCCAGCAUGAAACGGGGCACUCUGGGGGGUCUGCCGGGGACCCUCCGGACGAAGCCGGAGAUGUCGUCAAAUCAUCAUGCCGCGUUAUGGCGCGGGGCUAGCACACAGCCUCCAAUGGCGUAAACAGUGGGAAGGGAGACAGCAAUGUGAACUGAACCCCAAAAACAAUGUCACAGUUCGGAUCGUAGUCUGCAACUCGAAUACAUGAAGCUGGAAUCGCUAGUAAUCGCGAAUCAGAAUGUGGCGGUGAACACGUUCCCGGCUCUAGCACACACCGCCCGUCA
rnacentral:rRNA from 1 species